rnacentral:misc_RNA from 1 species
UACGAGUGCCUCGAGCGUUAUCCGGAAUCAUUGGGCGUAAAGGGUGUGUAGGUUGUUGUGUUAGUCUCAUGUUAAAUUCUUCGGCUUAACCGGGGGCAUGCAUGGGAAACGGCACAACUUGAGGAUGCGAGGGGUCUGCGGAACUCAUAGUGUAGCGGUGAAAUGCGUUGAUAUUAUGGGGAACACCAAAAGCGAAGGCAGCAGACUGGAGCACUCCUGACACUGAAACACGAAAGCGUGGGUAGCGAAUGGG